GUAGGUGGCAAGCGUUGUCCGGAAUUAUUGGGCGUAAAGCGCGCGCAGGCGGUUUUUUAAGUCUGAUGUGAAAGCCCACGGCUCAACCGUGGAGGGUCAUUGGAAACUGGAGAACUUGAGUACAGAAGAGGAAAGCGGAAUUCCACGUGUAGCGGUGAAAUGCGUAGAGAUGUGGAGGAACACCAGUGGCGAAGGCGGCUUUCUGGUCUGUAACUGACGCUGAGGCGCGAAAGCGUGGGGAGCAAACAGGGAUUAGAUACCCUGGUAGUCCACGCCGUAAACGAUGAGUGCUAAGUGUUAGGGGGUUUCCCGCCCCUUAGUGCUGCAGCUAACGCAUUAAGCACUCCGCCUGGGGAGUACGGCCCGCAAGGCUG
rnacentral:rRNA from 1 species